UAAGGAAUAUUGGUCAAUGGAGGCAACUCUGAACCAGCCAUGCCGCGUGAAGGAUUAAGGCCCUCUGGGUUGUAAACUUCUUUUAUAUGGGAAGAAAUGUACUUUUUCUAAAGUGCUUGACGGUACCAUAGGAAUAAGCACCGGCUAACUCCGUGCCAGCAGCCGCGGUAAUACGGAGGGUGCAAGCGUUAUCCGGAUUUACUGGGUUUAAAGGGUGCGUAGGCGGAUGAAUAAGUCAGUGGUGAAAUCUCCGAGCUUAACUCGGAAACUGCCGUUGAUACUAUUUGUCUUGAAUAUUGUUGAGGUAAGCGGAAUAUGUCAUGUAGCGGUGAAAUGCUUAGAUAUGACAUAGAACACCAAUUGCGAAGGCAGCUUGCUACACAAUCAUUGACGCUGAGGCACGAAAGCGUGGGGAUCAAACA
rnacentral:rRNA from 1 species